UACGUAGGGUGCAAGCGUUGUCCGGAAUUAUUGGGCGUAAAGAGCUCGUAGGCGGUCUGUCGCGUCUGGUGUGAAAAUCCAGGGCUUAACCCUGGACCUGCAUCGGGUACGGGCAGACUAGAGUGCGGUAGGGGAGAUCGGAAUUCCUGGUGUAGCGGUGAAAUGCGCAGAUAUCAGGAGGAACACCGGUGGCGAAGGCGGCUUACUGGGUCUCUACUGACGCUGAGGCACGAAAGCCAGGGUAGCAAACGGG
rnacentral:rRNA from 1 species